rnacentral:lncRNA from 1 species
UGCAAGUCUGCAAUGCACUCUGGGCAGGGAACCUGUGUGCAAGUCUGCAAUGCACUCUGGGCAGGGAACCUGUGUGCUCAUCUGCAAUGCAGUCUAGGCAGGGAACCUGUGUGCUCGUCUGCAAUACACUCUGGGCAGGGAACCUGUGUGCUCGUCUGCAAUACACUCUGGGCAGGGAAACUGUGUGCAAGUCUGCAAUACACUCUGGGCUUUAUGUCUAAAGUCAGUCAGCAGGGUUUUUUGCAAGCGGAAUGCAGAAGCCAUGUAAGGCCACAGAACAGUUACAGACGAUGAGGAACAGUGAGCGUCCCCCUCCCAUUCAGUGGGAGCCACCUGCGCAGGCCCACCCCACAGACCACAGCGAGGAUGCGCGCCUAAGAACGGUGGUGGUUGGAACUAAGGUCCUGCUCUGGCUUUGCCUUCCACCAUGAAUGAAAGCUCCCUAAAGCCUCCCCGGAAGCAGACGCCACCAUGCCUCCUGCAUAGCCUGUGGAGGAAACCUCUUCUUUUCCUUAUAAACUAAACCUCUUUUCCUUAAAAAUUACCCGGCCUCAGGUAUUUCUUGAUAGCAAUGCGAGAAUGCACUAAUAACACCAGGUAUACGCCAACAGUAGAAUAAAUAUUCAUUUAAUCCGAUACAAAAUUAUUUAACAGUUACACUUAUACAAUUACAUAUAUUCCCCCAAAGUUUAUUAUUUCUCAAAGAUUAAGGUGUAUCUUUACUUUGUAGUCAUAACUGAGUGUCUGCUUGUUAAUGGUAUUGCAGUUUAUAUAAAAUAAAAAUGGUGGAAACAG